CCUACGGGUGGCAGCAGUGGGGGAUAUUGCACAAUGGGGGCAACCCUGAUGCAGCGACGCCGCGUGUGUGAAGAAGUAUUUCGGUAUGUAAAGCUCUAUCAGCAGGGAGGAAGAUGACAGUACUUGACCAUGAAGCCCCGGCUAACUACGUUCCAGCAGCCGCGGGCAUACGUAGGGGGCAAGCUUUAUCCGGAUUUACUGGGUGUAAAGGGAGCGUAGGCGGUUAUGCAAGGCUGGUGUGAAAGCCCGGGGCUCAACCCCGGGACUGCUUUGGAUACUGUGAAGCUGGAGUACAGUAGGGGCAGGCGGAAUUCCAGGUGUAGCGGUGAAAUGCGUAGAGAUCAGGAGGAACACCGGCGGCGAAGGCGGCCUGCUGGACUGAAACUGACGUUGAGGCGCGAAAGCGUGGGGAGCAAACAGGAUUAGAUACCCCUGUAGUC
rnacentral:rRNA from 1 species